CGGGGCCUUAGGCGUGCGGGCCCAGGUGAGAGAGGAGAGGCUGCAGGGAAGGGGACGCAGCUGGAACCACACCGCGGCCAGCUGUUCAUGGAACACCUUCGAUGUGGCGAGCACCCUCCAGAUGCCGGGGAAACCGUGGGCGGACAGGCAAAGAUCCCUGUCUUCCGGGAGCCCGCCUUCCUACCUGGGAUUCCCUAACGCACACAGGGUAGGUGAGCAGCGCUCCUCGGCACGGCCAAGGCCACCACGGAGAGGCAGGCCCAGACCCGGCAGCGGAGCCUAAGAAGACGCGCAACUGGAUGACGUGUAUCCUGGGCCAGGAACAAGACAUUAGAUUCACGAGGCUGAAGCCGCUCUCUGCCGUGCGCUUCCGGCUGUCCCUGGGACAGGGCUGUGCUUUCGGCGGUCGGCUCUGCACAAGCAGAGGAUGAGCAGCGCUCAAGGCGGAACACGUGGGAGAUUCAGCAAUGUCACAGGCGAAAAGACACUCACCCCAGGGGUGGCUGCUGGAGCCGCCUCUGAUGUUUCUCUCCACGAGUUUCCUGGCACAUUGACAGCGCGAUUCCCCCGCGUGGCUCCUGCUCCUUCCACUCCUCAGCACCCCGACCACCUCCCCCUGCCGGCCUCCAUCCCUUUUCCCUCCCCCCUCCCCGGGCGGGCAUUUCUUUGGGGUCUAACUUCCCGUUAUUCCCAUUAUCUGGUGAUAAACGUC